UCCUAGCCCCGAUAGAAGUGGAAAUCCUUUUAUUUUGGGGUUCAAAAUAAAAGAUUGGAGCGAAAUAGCGGGAAAAGCU
rnacentral:sRNA from 1 species